UUUCAAAGUUGGCGCCUCUUUCCAGUUCACUUGGUCCCGCCCAUAACGGCCAACCUGCACCUUUAGGCCUGUCACGAAUCGUGAACGUGAAAGACGUGAACGUGAAAGACGUGCCCUCGUGGACGCAUGAUCUUCAAGGAUGUAUACAGCUGUAGCUGAGGACGCGGUUUGAGGAAGAAAAGUGGCACAUUGUUGGCUUUGCCAGCAAUGCUCAGUGGCUUGUGGAUCACAAGGCAGACAUGUACUGCUGUAAUUGUGCCAACCUGAACACUGAUGGUACCUGCUGUAGAAUGAGUCAGCUGGACAAGAAAACGGACACUCCUCGACGCUUCACUGAGUUUCACUCCUUCUCGGCUGCUGUGAAAGGAGCUGGUGAGGAGCAGGAGGACAUGUGUCGCAAGUAUCCCUGGAAGGACACGUCCUCCUGCAAACAGAGAGGACGCAAUACUUAUGAGACAUCCAGAGACAGAGACGGUUCAGCAUCAAGUUUUCUUUCUCUGACCUCGACUGUGCCAAACAGCUCGUCUCUGAUGUGACCUCCUCCAAACUCCUUCUUCAGUGUGGCACGUGUUGCUGCGUACAUCAUCUUUUGCCUCACCUAGACGACAUCGCAGCAGACAGGAGGACACGUGAUGUUUGUCAGUAUCUCGUUUUAGUUUAAUAGUCUCUUCAUUCUUGCAGACAAACACGUUGGUUUCUGUUUAUUUACAAAAACCUUAAUUGGUAAAACGCCCUCUUAUUAUCGCUCAUUACUCAACAUCCCUAACACCAGUUUGAUUCCAGCAGCUUUAUUAACUUCCUCAUCCCCAAAGUCUGCAUCACUUUGAGUUCUGCCGCAGGUGCAUCCAUGGUAAAUUGCCCUGGGAAUAAUACACGACUCCUUAUAUGGACAUCCUGGGGGGGGUAUUUAUAGGUCACAUAUUCAGGCUUUAAAAAAAAUGCAUUUUUUUCAUCGUUGUUGAUUCAAAGUUCUGAUUCAUUUUAUAGUCAUAGUGAUAUAAAGUAGCAAUAAUUGUCCAGAAGUCACAAAAUAGACUGUUUUUCUUUUCAAAGUGAACUUUGAACUGUGACGUGUUUCCAAAUCUCACAAAUUCAAUCUGAUUUUAAACCAUGCAGUUUUAUAAUAACUUUGCUUUGACGCAUGACUCAGCAUCUCAUAGACAUACUGGUGAUUGGUCAGGUGACCAGGCAAUGAAGAUCCACUCGUGUCCCUGUGCAUUCUGGGAGUCUAGACGAUAGAGGAUGUAGCACGGCUCUUGGGGCUGGAGCAGAGGAAGCAGGCACUGGUCGUAGUCUUGGUCCCAGCUGUGUGCAGGCUCUCUGGACGAGUCCAGCACCAACUCCUCUGCAGACAGACACGCGCGUCAGUUUAAACGCAGAACAAGUCAACGCUGUGUUUGAAAUGUAAAAAUGAAAUAUUUACCAUUUCUGAUGACAAUCUUCAUUAUUCUGAUGGCACCUCCCUUCGCCCCGGCCAGAAACUGUUUCAGCUCAGAUGUUGCUAAAGUAACGAGAUAUGAGGCAGACCAGUCAAAACUGAGGAUGGGGGGGUGGGGGGAGGUUGACAGCAAGUGAGACAGAGUUGGGUAAGUCAGAACCUGAGACUCCACUUCAGGGAGACAACUUGAUCCGCUGCCAGGUAGUCACGCUAUCACCUGAACUGACUUACACAGGGGACUGAUGAAGGACACAAGGGGAGUGUUGUGGAUUAAACACAACCAUCAAUACCCAGUUUCAAUAUCCCAGAGGGGCAAUUUGGUCGUAAAAACUAACUUAUUGAUCCCCCUCCCUCCCUCC